AUAUGAAUCAUCGAGGGACCUUGUUAAAAUACAAAUUCUGAUUUAGUAGGUAUGGGUGUGGUGCCUGAGAGUCUGCAUUUCUAAUAAUUGUCACAUGAUGUUGCU
rnacentral:pre_miRNA from 1 species